CAUAUAGAACAGCCGAAUUUCCAAAAGAAUACGGGGGAACCAUAUAGCUGCCUGGAGCAGCUUGGGGUGAAUUCCGUUCCGGCGCAGGCGGCAGCCUGUCGGGAGCGGAUAGGGCAGCCGUCAUGCCCGAAUCCGACAGCUAACCUCGGAGGCUGCUUGACCGGACUC
rnacentral:sRNA from 3 species